GGAGUAGUGGUGUAGUGGUAGUACAUUGCAUUCGAAUGCGAAGAGAAGUGGUUCGAUUCCCUUCCGGUUCA
rnacentral:tRNA from 1 species